AUGAAGCUUGAUACCAGCGGUCUAGAAUCGGCUGCGCCGGUCUGGGGUGCUCCUAGUGAGCUUGUUGGUGGGUUUUCGGCUGCUCCGUCGUUCGAGCUUCCAAAUACCACUGAUUUUGAUGUGUUUCAGAAGGAAGCUGUUAAGAUGGUGAAACCUGCUAAGGGUACCACCACGCUUGCCUUCAUUUUUAAGGAAGGCGUCAUGGUUGCUGCUGAUUCUAGAGCUAGCAUGGGAGGCUAUAUCUCAUCACAGUCGGUGAAGAAAAUUAUUGAAAUCAAUCCAUACAUGCUUGGUACAAUGGCUGGUGGAGCUGCUGACUGCCAGUUUUGGCACAGAAAUUUAGGCAUCAAGUGCCGGCUGCAUGAAUUGGCAAACAAGCGUAGAAUUUCUGUUACAGGGGCAUCAAAACUGUUGGCAAACAUUCUCUAUUCUUACCGAGGAAUGGGACUAUCAGUUGGAACCAUGAUUGCUGGAUGGGAUGAAACGGGUCCUGGACUAUACUAUGUGGACAGUGAAGGGGGAAGGUUAAAGGGAAUGCGUUUCUCUGUUGGAUCUGGUUCACCUUAUGCUUAUGGUGUGCUGGAUAAUGGCUAUCGGUAUGAUAUGUCCAUUGAAGAAGCGGCAGAGUUGGCCAGAAGAGCUAUUUAUCAUGCCACAUUCCGAGAUGGAGCCAGUGGUGGUGUUGCCAGCGUUUAUUACGUGGGACCAAAUGGCUGGAAGAAGCUAUCUGGUGAUGAUGUUGGAGAACUUCACUACAAAUACUAUCCAGUGAUACCAAGCACGGUUGAACAAGAAAUGGUUGAAGUAGCUGGAGCCUAAGAGGGUUCUACUCAACCUAGACCAAGUUGAAGAUGUUUGCAUUCAUCGAUCGGCCAAUGGGAUAGAAUCUGAUACUGAAACAUUGUUUCCUCUACUUAUAUUGGGAUUAGCCUUAAAAGACAAUUCACUGAUAGACCUGGGUGCAACUUUAUGCUGGUCUGGCUUUUGUAAAUUACUACACAAGUCAUAUGGCUAGGAAAUGGGGUAAGUGGCGUUUCCACUUUCCACUAAAAGUGUCCUUCAAAAUGUCGAAUGAGGAGGAAUGCAUGUGCUUGGUUUUCAGCUUGGUAAGAGCUGAUCUUCUAAGCAAACCUGUAAUCCAUUAGCGGACUGUGGAGUCGAGUGAUGAAAGCAUUGUUUCAUGAACAUUGGGAUUGUUAUGGUGAUGAAGGUGGAUUUUGGCAGGUGACCCAUAUUUAGCCCAUUUGCAUAGUUGAACUGGAGAAUAGAUUUUUUUUGUAGGUGGGAAAAACGGACAAUGAUGGGCUUCCUUACCCGUUGGUUGGUCCAACGUUUCUGAACAGUUAAAUCAACAAUCAAAUAGACAAUGAUCCCAUAUUUUAGCCCAUCUACCU